GCAGGGGCGUCCCCCUCGCGCUUAGGCUUGCGUCCCGUACUUCGGUGCUGCGCGAAGUAACCGAGGAUGUGACUUCCUUGGCCGGCGGUGGCCCGCGGACGAUGCUCGCCCUCCUGAGCGCGACGACCCUGGUGUUGGUCGCCGGGGUGCCGUGGAUGCUGCCGGCAGCCGCAGGAGGAACAAAUCUAAAAUCUCCUCAAAAUGUUGAAGUCUACAUCAUUGAUGAUACCUUUAUCCUGAGGUGGAACAGGAGCAGUCCGUCUGUCAGGAAUGUGACUUUUUCAGCAGACUAUCAAAUACUUGAAAAUGGCGCUUGGCUCCAAUUGCCUGGCUGUCAGUCUGUGGCCAGUACCGAAUGCAACUUUUCUUCAGUCAAGCUCAAUGUUUAUGAAGAAAUUAAACUGCGAAUAAGAGCAGAGGAGGGCAACAACACUUCUCCGUGGCGUUAUGUUGACUCAUUCACACUGUUUGAAAAAGCUCAAAUCGGUCCCCCAAAAGUACACUUAGAAGCCGAAGAUAAGGCAAUAAUCGUCAACAUCUCCCCGCCUGGAACAAAAGAUGGUGGCAUGUGGGCUUCCGAUAGCUCAGGCUUCAUCUACAGCUUAGACAUCUGGAAGAACUCUUCAAGUGGAGAAAGAAAGACUAAAACUGUUUACUCCAGAGACAAAAUUUAUGAACUCUCACCAGAGACCACCUACUGUUUAAAAGUUAGAGCAAGACUUUUGCCAAGAAAAACUGGUGCCUAUAGUCCCGUGUAUUGUAUAAAGACCGCAGUUGAAAAUAAACUGCCUCCACCAGAAAAUAUUCAAGUUGAAGCUAAAAAUCAAACCUAUAUUCUUAAAUGGGAUUACGCGCAGGAAAAUGUGACUUUUUACGCUCAGUGGCUCCACGCCUAUUUAAAAAAGAUUCCUGGGGACAAUUCAGGUAAAUGGAAACAAAUACCAAACUGCAAAAAUGUCCGAACUACGCAGUGUGUCUUUCCCAAAAAUACUUUCCAUAAAGGAAUUUACCUUAUCCGUGUUCGAGCAUCGGAUGGAAAUACCACAUCGGUUUGGUCUCACGAAGAAAAAUUUGAUACUCAAUUACAAAUUACCCUGUUUCCUCCGGUCAUUACCAUGAAACCCACUAACAAUGCUUCCCUGCGGGUCUAUAUCAGCGCUCCAGGAGAGUCGGAAAAUAAGCCUGUGAACCAUCUUUACCCACUAAUUUAUGAAAUUGUAUUUUGGGAAAACACUUCAAAUGCUGAGAGAAAAAUUUUAGAGAAAAGAACUGAUUUUACUUUUCCUCAAUUGAAACCGCUGACUGUAUAUUGUGUCAAAGCCCGAGCACUCAUUCAGGAUGAAAGGUGGAAUAAAAGCAGUGUUUUUAGUGAUAUUGUGUGCGAGAAAACAAAACCAGGAAAUACUUCCAAAACCUGGCUCAUAGCUGGAGUUUGUGCUGCGCUAUUUUCCAUCCCAGUUGUCAUCUAUGUCAUGAAACUUCUCUUUCGAUGUAUCAGUUAUGUGUUCUUUCCAUCAAGUAAACCUCCAUCCACUAUAGAUGAGUAUUUCUCUGAGCAACCGCUCCGGAAUCUCCUCCUUUUCACUUCCGAAGAACUGACAGAAAGAUGUUUUAUAAUUGAAAACACGAACACUAUCACGGCAGUAGAAGAGACUAACCAAACCGAUGGAGAGCACAAAAAAUACGGUUCCCAAACCAGUCAGGACUCAGGGAACUAUUCUAAUGAAGAUGAAAGCACUGGAAGCAAAUUCAGUGAAGAGUUCCUGCAUCAGGAAACCGAGUGACCAGAAGUAAGUUCUAGAAUGCUUGGGAGUUCUGGGGGAGCCGUGCGCAAAGCCUGGGCUCCUGCUCCCCUCAGUAACUGUGCAGUGGGUACCUGCUCAUUCGAGAAGGAGGACGUCUUUAGGUCACGGGCCAAAAACUACAGGCAAGCACUUACCUCUUGGACAGAAGUUUUCUCUAUUGCUUCCCAUGGGUAGAGCCUUGAAAGACCUGCCGCUGGGUGUAUCUGACAAAAUGAGUGAAAUCCAGAAAACGUUCUCAAAUGGCAUCUCAAGUUCCGUUGCGCUAAUGGCUUGUGGCAAAGCACACACGGUCACUGUGUCCCUGUCGGUGACACUGUCACCAUGUGCCUGUGGCUGCCCGUGUCGCCACUCAUCCUCUGUUCUGUGUUACACACCGUUCAGGAUUUUUCCGGAAGUAUUUUAGAUACUUUUGACACUGAAGCCUAGGCCCUCGGGAAAUUUCUUUCGCAAAGCUAGAUGUCAUAACCACUGGCAUUCUGUAAAAUAGCUUCCUCUGGAAAACAUCUGCAGGUGCCAGAAAUGUGACCCGUACAAUUUUCAGGGGAACCCUGUCCAUGUGUCCCCAAAACCUUGGCUCCUACAUCACAGUCACCUCUCCCUUCUGUGGUUUAGGAUUCACACCAGGACAUCCUUUCCCGAACACUAAUCCUUCCCGGCUCACAACCUAAUUCCCAACCUAGUGGAACAGUAGCAGCUUCUGAUGUGAAUCUGCAGUCAAUGAAGUGACAGAGAAAGGGACAACUGUCUAAUUAGAGAAGCUGUUAGGAUAUUUUAAGGUAAGGAAGUAUGUAGAAGUUGGUCACAGUGUCUACAGGAAGCCUUGGGACCAGAAAAUGCUCCUGACAGAACAGAGUAAGAAGCAGAAUCAUUCAGUAGGAGGAAAGCAGGUGACAUUCGUGAAAAAUAAGAGAAAUGGAUCUAAUCAGCUUUUAAUUAUUAACAUGCUAUGGGGUCGCUCAUGGUUGUUUUGGGGUUUCUUUCCUUUCUCAGUUUUAUUGAGAUGUAAUUGACAUGUAACUCCUCUGUGUCCUGUUUUGAACCCGGCCCUUCUCUGUGGGUGUCCCUUCUCCUAUGCUUCCAUGCACUAAGGAAAGGGAAGGUUCACUGUCACAGUAAGGAAGAAAAAUGUAACUGGAAGGAAAACCUAAGUUUAAGAAUGACAUGAUGUUUUUCCAAGGCCAUCUGGGGUGGACUCUUAAAUUAUUCAUGGAGACCCUUUGUAGAAAUCAGUCUAGGGAUUUGGGCGGCCUCCCAAGGGAAGGGAGAGAGCCACACAGCACGCUGGGACAUACGCCACCAAAGGCCAGUAUUAUUUCUGUCGUCGCCCCUGCUGAUGUCCCACGUUCAGCUGUGGGGGAGAAGAGAUGGAAGGCGCUGCUCUGGGACAGCUCCCCCCUCGGCAUCGCCACAGCUCCACGGAGCACACCGCGUGCUUUGCUGGACCCACAGCCCUGAGCACACCGCAUGCUUUGCUGGACCCACAGCCCCGGCUUCUGGCAGAGCAUAGCGGGGAUUUGGGAGUGAACCCAGAUGUGGGUCACAUCCCAUUAGGAUAGCCAUAAAGUACUUGCCAGGUGCCUGGGUGGCUCAGUGGGUUAAAGCCUCUGCCUUUGGCUCAGGUCAUGAUCCCAGAGUCCUGAGAUCGAGCCCUACAUCGGGCUCUCUUCUCAGCGGGGAGCCUCCUUCCUCCUCUCUCUCUGCCUGCCUCUCUGCCUACUUGUGAUCUCUGUCUGUCAAAUAAGUAAAUAAAAAUCUUAACAAUAAAUAGUUUGUAUCUUUUCCCCCACAUGUGACCUUAAAAAGCAGCCCUGGUUUACUCUUAACGAAUUCUAUGUACAAAAACCUUCCUUCUGUGCCCUUCCUGUGACUCCUCAACAUGUUAUGUUUGGUUUUUGUCUGGUAUCUGUCUGUCCCCCUCAGAGAUCAGAAGGUCUCUCAGCACAACGACUUUCUUUUAUUCAUCGCCGUAUCCCCAGUAUCCGCAGCAGUGCAGGGCCCUGCUCAUGGACGGUGCGUGGAAAGUUCUUAUCGAAUGUGUGGAAUCCACAAUUUGAACCAAACGAGUGCUUCUGACUGUUGUCUACAUGUUGGUUGAGUUGCAGAAGGACAAAACCACGUGUCCAGUGUUUCUUCGCAGUAAACUUGUACUUACGUUUUUGUUUUAAACCCUAUUGCCAUGAACAAUUUUCUGUAAUAAACACUGCAGCCAGAAGAA